rnacentral:rRNA from 1 species
UACGUAGGGUGCGAGCGUUAAUCGGAAUUACUGGGCGUAAAGCGUGCGCAGGCGGUUUUGUAAGCCAGAUGUGAAAUCCCCGGGCUUAACCUGGGAAUGGCAUUUGGGACUGCAAGGCUUGAGUGCGGCAGAGGAGACUGGAAUUCCUGGUGUAGCAGUGAAAUGCGUAGAUAUCAGGAGGAAUACCGAUGGCGAAGGCAGGUCUCUGGGCUGACACUGACGCUCAUGCACGAAAGCGUGGGGAGCAAACAGGAUUAGAUACCCGUUAGUCC